CCUUGUCUCCGAGACGCUGCUGCCUUGUCUCCGGCUUCUCGAUGGGCGGACUGUCGUCUGCGGCGUUGCUCAGCCCGACUCUCUCUCCGCCGUCACGCCUGCAACUGCUUGGCGGCCUCCGGGGUUCCGCCGACACUUGGCCAUCGUCCGGCAGCCUCGACUACUAAGCUAAGUUUUUCUUCUAGUACAUAGCUUAUUUCGUGGGUUUCUAGCUACGCGAUGUUUGGAAAAUUUUGGUGUUUAGAGUUGAAACGGUAGUUGCUGCACUGCCUUGUGGGAAUUUGAGUUAUAAAUUUAGGUAGCCCUUCAUGCUAUGACAUUCUUGAUUGAGCAUCUUUGGUGUUAGAAGCUUAUCCUAUGUUUUGCUAUGAUUCCGGACCUAAGGCAUGCUCCUAAGUUCUUGAGCUAUACAUGUGAUGCCAUUAUGGUGUUAAGGGGAUUACCUGUUGUGAAUGUGCUGGUUGAAAGCUGUCGGUCUCUGGCUCUGCUGAGCUCUCGGCUUACAAUUCUCAAUUCCUCUUCCCUCUCUCCCCUUCGGUUUUGGCUAAACUUGGAACUGAUAAGUGGUGUGAAGGGGCAGGCUAAGGGUUACUCCCAUAUUUAUCCUGAAUCUGUAACUGAAAGCCUGAUAAGGCUGAUGUACUUGGCUGAAAAGGGUCCUUGGUUGGUUAUAUGUUUGGUUGCUUUCUCUGCAGAAAUGCAGGAAUGUACUCGUGCAUUUAUUGGCAUUGUAGCCUCUUUUGUUAUCAGCUUGCAGGGUGUUUUAGCUCUCAUUGGUGACUUCAAACUCACUGAAAUUUGUGUAACCUUUUCGCAGGUACUAGCUGGAGUACAGGUGGUUAGGAUUGGAGUGCCAUUGCUGCGAUUCUAUCUGUGAUUCGCUGCACUCGGCAGCCUGCGGUGUCCAGCGAUUGCAGCCUUCUGUCUUCCCCGAAACCUUAAGGUUUGAGGGGCUAAUCAUCUACGCCGGUCAACACGCCGCCUCAGCCCAACUCCCGUCGGUAGUCGAGCCGACGGCCGGUGCUAAUCGUGCCGAACCUAGCUCUCUCUUCCCCCUCGCAUUGUAAUAGAGUAGCUCCACUUGUGAGCUUUUUUUCUUCCCCAUGUAAUAGUUAGUUGACAUGUAUCUCGGUUGUCUUUAUUUUAAUCGUCAAGCAUUUUGUAAA